GCAGCCAAGAUUAAAUUAUAUAUAGAUAACGGCUCAAGAAAAUAAGAUAGGAAUUGAACAAGUAACAAAAUAACAAUGUGUCUCGAGGAGCUGCAAAUUAUCAACAGCAGUAUCAUUGCCAGAACUUGCUGCCCGAAAAAAAGAGCAGUGGUUGUGAUCUGAAAUUGUUGAACUAAUUUUUCAGAUUGGAAAGCUGUAAACUGCUCAUCUGAAAGUUUAGGGUGUUAUUCCUCAAACAUCUAUGGAGUUUCACUGAAUGGUGCAGGAGGCCAAGGACAAGAACGACAAAGAUGUUGACUGGCUUAUUUCGUAUUCCAAAGGGCUUUCUGCUUGAGUAUCAAAUGAAGACCAGUUUGACAGAUUUGAGAUCAGAUGCUUCAGUGUGGUGGGCCCAGAGUUGAGUUUGAGUCCAGUUCAAGACCCAGCAGCUUCAGUGGACUCAUGGAGGCAAUGAUGUCGGUUGGAGGCAAGGUGGUGCCAAAGAAUGGCAACACAGUUCCAGCGAUGGCAUCGCAGCUGAGCUCAGGUACCUGAUAACAAUGUGCAGGGACUCAAGUCACCUGAGUGUUCACAGACUGAAGAAUGGACUUGGUGGCUUUGUUUUUCCUGGCAGCGAAGACUCAUGGCGAAGCGAUGUGGACGUUUCCUUUUCCUUUGGCUGGUUCUUUUAUUUCUGCUUCCGUUUUUAAUCCUGUCUUUUGAAUACUGAGAUAGCACUUGAGAAUAGUGACUUUGUACACUAUUCGCUGUACUAAUGUAUUCCUAUACUUGAG